rnacentral:rRNA from 1 species
GACAGAGGUGCCGAGCGUUAGGCGGAAUCACUGGGCUUAAAGCGUGUGUAGGCGGAUGUCUAAGUACCUUGUGAAAUCCUCGACGCUCAACCGUGGAACUGCUGGGUAUACUGGAUGUCUUGAGCCAGCUAGGGGCUACCGGAACAAAUGGUGGAGCGGUGAAAUGCGUAGAUAUCAUUUGGAACGCCAAUGGUGAAAACAGGUAGCUGGGGCUGUGCUGACGCUGAGACACGAAAGCCAGGGGAGCGAACGGG